rnacentral:rRNA from 1 species
UCUCAAAGAUUAAGCCAUGCAGGUUUAAGUAUAAACUGCUUUAUACUGUGAAACUGCGAAGGGCUCAUUAAAUCAUUUAUAUUUUAUUUGAGGGUACCUUACUACUCGAAUAACCGUAGUAAUUCUAGAGCUAAUACGUGCGUAAAUCCCGACUUCUGGAAGGGACGUAUUUAUUAGAUAAAGGCCGACCGGGCUCUGCCCGACUCGCGGUGAAUCAUGAUAACUGCACGAAUCGCAUGGCCUCGCGCCGGCGAUGUUUCAUUCAAAUUUCUGCCCUAUCAACUUUCAACCGGAGGGAACUGGCCUACGGUGGUGUUCACGGAUGACGGAAAAUUAU